rnacentral:rRNA from 1 species
CCUACGGGUGGCAGCAGUGGGGAAUAUUGCGCAAUGGGCGCAAGCCUGACCCAGCAACGCCGCGUGAACGAAGAAGGCUUUCGGGUUGUAAACUUCUUUUCUCAGGGACGAAGCAAGUGACGGUACCUGAGGAAUAAGCCACGGCUAACUACGGGCAAGCAGCCGCGGUAAUACGUAGGGGGCAAGCGUUAUGCGGAUUUACUGGGUGUAAAGGGCGUGUAGGCGGGAAAGCAAGUCUGAUGUGAAAACCAUGGGCUCAACCUGUGGCCUGCAUUUGAUACUGUUUUUCUUGAGUGCUGGAGAGGCAGACGGAAUUCCUGGUGUAGCGGUGAAAUGCGUAGAUAUUAGGAGGAACACCAGUGGCGAAGGCGGUCUGCUGGGCAGCAACUGACGCUGAGGCGCGAAAGCGUGGGGAGCAAACAGGAUUAGAUACCCCUGUAGUC